rnacentral:rRNA from 1 species
UCGGUAAAACUCGUGCCAGCCACCGCGGUUAUACGAAUAGGCCCAAGUUGUUAGACAUCGGCGUAAAGCGUGGUUAGGUAGUUCAAUAUCCAGUAGAGCCGAACGCCUUCUAGGCUGUUAUACGUGUACUUGCGAAGGUGAGAAGCCCAAUUACGAAAGUAGCUUUAUAAUAACUGACUCCACGAAAGCCAGGGAACAAACUGGGAUUAGAUACCCCACUAUG